rnacentral:rRNA from 1 species
AAAGCGUGCGCAGGCGGUUUUGUAAGUCUGUCGUGAAAGCCCCGGGCUUAACCUGGGAAUUGCGAUGGAGACUGCAAGGCUUGAAUCUGGCAGAGGGGGGUAGAAUUCCACGUGUAGCAGUGAAAUGCGUAGAGAUGUGGAGGAACACCGAUGGCGAAGGCAGCCCCCUGGGUCAAGAUUGACGCUCAUGCACGAAAGCGUGGGGAGCAAACAGGAUUAGAUACCCGUGU